rnacentral:rRNA from 1 species
AACUUUCAACAACGGAUCUCUUGGCUCUCGCAUCGAUGAAGAACGCAGCGAAACGCGAUAUGUAAUGUGAAUUGCAGAAUUCAGUGAAUCAUCGAAUCUUUGAACGCACCUUGCGCCUUCUGGUAUUCCGGAAGGCAUGCCUGUUUGAGUGUCAU